rnacentral:misc_RNA from 1 species
UCUCCGUAGGUGAACCUGCGGAGGGAUCAUUACAGAGUUCAUGCCCUCACGGGUAGAUCUCCCACCCUUGUGUAUUCAUACCUUUGUUGCUUUGGCAGGCCGCUGGGCUUCGGCCUGGCCACCGGCUCCCGGGCUGGUGCGCGCCUGCCAGGGGACCUCUAAACUCUGUUUGUCAGUGUCGUCUGAGUAUUAUACAAUCGUUAAAACUUUCAACAACGGAUCUCUUGGUUCUG